rnacentral:rRNA from 1 species
UACGAAGGGGGCUAGCGUUGUUCGGAAUUACUGGGCGUAAAGCGUGCGCAGGCGGUCUUCCAAGUCAGUGGUGAAAGCCCCGGAGCUCAACUCCGGAACUGCCAUUGAAACUGUGAGACUCGAGUACGAGAGAGGUGAGUGGAAUUCCCAGUGUAGAGGUGAAAUUCGUAGAUAUUGGGAAGAACACCGGUGGCGAAGGGCGGGUCUCUGGGCCGAUACUGACGCUGAGGAGCGAAAGCAUGGGUAGCAAACAGGG